CGGUGGAUAACCUGCCUCACACAGGGGGAUAACAGUUAGAAAUGACUGCUAAUACCGCAUAAGCGCACGGCAUCGCAUGAUGCAGUGUGAAAAACUCCGGUGGUGUGAGAUGGAUCCGCGUCUGAUUAGGUAGUUGGUGGGGUAAUGGCCCACCAAGCCGACGAUCAGUAGCCGACCUGAGAGGGUGACCGGCCACAUUGGGACUGAGACACGGCCCAA
rnacentral:rRNA from 1 species